GCCUCGGUGGCCAAGUGGUUACGGCGACUGCCUCGUAAGCAGUAGAUCGCGGGUUCGAAUCCCGCCCGGGGCUCCA
rnacentral:tRNA from 1 species